AAUACAAUUGCUGGAUCAUAUGGUAAGAGUAUCUUUAGUUUUAUAGGAAACUGCCAAACUGUAUAACAAAAUGACUACACCAUUUUGCAUUUCCACCAGCAAU
rnacentral:pre_miRNA from 1 species